UAGAGAGUUUUCUUCCUGGAUUUCGGAUGACAAUUUUAGCAACCCAGAUGGGACAAUGAGACUGAAAUCUCACGGACCGAAGGACUGGAGGGGCCUCUGUUCAGCGCACAUACUGAGUGAUUCUCUGGGAGCUCCCCCAAAUCCCAGCUCCAUCAGGACCAGCCACAAGUUCCCUGGAAUAUGCUGCAGCAGUGUGUGUGUUCGAGUGUAUGAAGGCAAUUCGCACAUUCCACACAUUCCAGACAUGGUGUAGUCAGUUAUGGAAAUUGCAGAGGAAACUUGUUGAAAAUUGUAAUAAUUGUUGGAUUGGAGAAAUGAUUAAAAUUACUCAUGUAAUCCUGGGGUCUGUGGAAAAACGACAAGUUCCCAUCUUGCUGGAGGAUAUUGAUUAUGGCUCUCCCAAGAGGAAUUCAGUGUACAACUAUGCUUUGAGGGAACUGGCAGACACAGUCACCUAGUAAUUUGAGAAGGGACAAUUGUCCAGUAUAAAUAUUUAUAUUCAAGUGUAUUUAGAUUGUUGUGAUUGAUUGCAGUUUGCACCAGGCCAAAAUAGAUGAGUACUGGAACAAGAAACUACUGUGCCAUCCCCCCGCGUGUCUCACAGAGUGCUCUGAGAAAGAGCCACUUGCAAACUCUUGUUGUAAAAUAGUAUGUUACCUCAGGAAUGGGGAGGAAUACACUGGAAGUUGGAAUGUCCUUAUCUGCAGAAAUCUAGGAAACCUCAGUGUAGCACUGAAAAUCUCCAUGACUGGAGACGAGACUGAAAUAGAAUAUUUGGUAGACAAAAUUGGUUUCUGUAUUUACAGAAUAUGUAUUUUAUACAGAUAUGUAUUUUAAGGGCACUGAAGCCCUUAAUUGGUCAAGAUUGGUUGGAGCAAUUAGAGGGAAAAAUAAGAUUUUAAAAUUGGGACUUUUAUAGACAGGAAUGUUGCCUGGAAGAUCAGAGGAAGUUUGUAAUGAUGAAAGUUUUGAGAGAUUAAAAAAAAAAAAAAAGAA